GGUGUUCGGGUUGUCAUGCCAAUGGCACUGCCCGGUAGCUAAAUGCGGAAGAGAUAAGUGCUGAAAGCAUCUAAGCACGAAACUUGCCCCGAGAUGAGUUCUCCCUGACCCUUUAAGGGUCCUGAAGGAACGUUGAAGACGACGACGUUGAUAGGCCGGGUGUGUAAGCGCAGCGAUGCGUUGAGCUAACCGGUACUAAUGAACCGUGAGGCUUAACCUUACAACGCCGAAGGUGUUU
rnacentral:rRNA from 1 species